rnacentral:rRNA from 1 species
AGUGAGGAAUAUUGCGCAAUGGAGGCAACUCUGACGCAGCCAUGCCGCGUGCAGGAAGAAGGCGCUACGCGUUGUAAACUGCUUUUAUCCGGGAAGAAACCCCAGGACGUGUCCUGGGUUGACGGUACCGGAGGAAUAAGCACCGGCUAACUUCGUGCCAGCAGCCGCGGUAAUACGAAGGGUGCAAGCGUUAUCCGGAUUCAUUGGGUUUAAAGGGUGCGUAGGCGGAACAAUAAGUCAGCGGUGAAAUCCUGCAGCUCAACUGCAGAAUUGCCGUUGAUACUGUUGUUCUUGAGUACGCUUGACGUGGGCGGAAUGUGCCGUGUAGCGGUGAAAUGCUUAGAUAUGGCACAGAACACCGAUAGUGAAGACAGCUCACGAAGGCGAAACUGACGCUGAGGCACGAAAGCGUGGGGAGCGAA